rnacentral:rRNA from 1 species
CAGCCAGACUCCUACGGGAGGCAGCAGUGGGGGAUAUUGCACAAUGGGGGAAACCCUGAUGCAGCGACGCCGCGUGGGCGAAGAAGUAUUUCGGUAUGUAAAGCCCUAUCAGCAGGGAAGAAGAAAUGACGGUACCUGAGUAAGAAGCACCGGCUAAAUACGUGCCAGCAGCCGCGGUAAUACGUAUGGUGCAAGCGUUAUCCGGAUUUACUGGGUGUAAAGGGAGCGCAGGCGGCACGGCAAGCCUGAUGUGAAAGGCGGGGGCCCAACCCCCGGACUGCUCUGGGAACUGUAUAGCUAGAGUGCAGGAGAGGCAAGUGGAAUUCCUAGUGUAGCGGUGAAAUGCGUAGAUAUUAGGAGGAACACCAGUGGCGAAGGCGGCUUGCUGGACUGUAACUGACGUUGAGGCUCGAAAGCGUGGGGAGCAAACAGGAUUAGAUACCCCAGUAU